GAUGAACGCUGGCGGCGUGCCUAAUACAUGCAAGUCGAGCGAACAGACGAGGAGCUUGCUCCUCUGACGUUGGCGGCGGACGGGUGAGUAACACGUGGAUAACCUACCUAUAAGACUGGGAUAACUUCGGGAAACCGGAGCUAAUACCGGAUAAUAUAUUGAACCGCAUGGUUCAAUAGUGAAAGACGGUUUUGCUGUCACUUAUAGAUGGAUCCGCGCCGCAUUAGCUAGUUGGUAAGGUAACGGCUUACCAAGGCAACGAUGCGUAGCCGACCUGAGAGGGUGAUCGGCCGCACUGGAACUGAGACACGGUCCAGACUCCUACGGGAGGCAGCAGUAGGGAAUCUUCCGCAAUGGGCGAAAGCCUGACGGAGCAACGCCGCGUGAGUGAUGAAGGUCUUCGGAUCGUAAAACUCUGUUAUUAGGGAAGAACAAAUGUGUAAGUAACUAUGCACGUCUUGACGGUACCUAAUCAGAAAGCCACGGCUAACUACGUG
rnacentral:rRNA from 1 species